AACUCCAGCAGCCUAGGUUGUUAGAGCGCCUGCCUCGAAUGCGGAAGGUCGCGGGUUCGAACCCCGACCGAGUCA